GCUUAGCGCCGCGAUUCUGCUUAUAAUUACUGCCUAGUUCUAAUCUAAUUGUAAAGUAAAACUGCGAAUGGCUCAUUAAAACAGUUAUAGUUUAUUUGAUACAUUAAAUGGAUAACUGUAGAAAAACUAGAGCUAAUACAUGCCAAAGCCUCACGGUUGUAUUUAUUAGAUAUUCCAAUUAGGUGAAUCAUAAUAACUUCGCAAAUCUCUGGUUUUGCCGAGAUAAAUCAUCCAAGUUUCUGCCCUAUCAUGCUUUCGAUGGCAGUGUAUUGGACUACCUCGGCAUCUAUCUAGGUUAACAGGGAAUUAGGGUUCGUUUUUGGAGAAGGAGCCUGAGAAACGGCUACUACAUCUACGGAAGGCAGCAGGCGCGUAAAUUACCCAAUCCUGACUCAGGGAGGUGGUGACAAGAUAUAACAACGAGACCUAAAAUCUCGAUUGUAGUGAGGGUAUUCUAAAUAGAACCUAUAGUACGAUUAGAGGGCAAGUCUGGUGCCAGCAGCCGCGGUAAUUCCAGCUCUAUAGCGUAUAUAAAGUUGCUGCAGUUAAAAGCUCGUAGUGGAUUUCAAGUUUGUAUUCUCUUACGGAUAUACUACUAGUCUCUGACUGUACUGUGAGAAAUAGAUGUCAGCAGCUUCGCAGAUAUAGCAUGAAUACGAUGAUUGAUCGCUAUCAUCGAUAAAGAAGUGGGGCUAGAUUAUGCAGGAUCUGGAUGUAACACGUUGCGAGCUUGCGAUCUC
rnacentral:rRNA from 1 species